UACGUAGGGUGCGAGCGUUGUCCGGAAUUAUUGGGCGUAAAGAGCUCGUAGGCGGUUUGUCGCGUCGACUGUGAAAACCUACAGCUUAACUGUGGGCUUGCAGUCGAUACGGGCAGACUUGAGUUCGGUAGGGGAGACUGGAAUUCCUGGUGUAGCGGUGAAAUGCGCAGAUAUCAGGAGGAACACCGGUGGCGAAGGCGGGUCGUCUGGGCCGAUGACUGACGCUGAGGAGCGAAAGCGUGGGGAGCGAACAGG
rnacentral:rRNA from 1 species